AACGAGUCGCUGCGUUAACGAUUGAAGCGGCAUCCUUUUUAUUUUGUCAUCCUGAGCUUGUCGAAGGACAAAAUAAAAAGAUACAGCGGAAAGCGUGUUAAAAC
rnacentral:sRNA from 1 species